rnacentral:ncRNA from 1 species
UUAAAGAUAAUGAUAAGGAGUAGUACUUAAAUAUAUUAUUUUUAGAGAGCUAAGGGUUGGUGAGACUUAGUAAUAAUAAUUUAAAGAAGCAGCCUUUGAAUCGCUUACUGAGAACUAAGAAUUUUUCUUAAUGUAGGUAAAGCCGUAUUUUCCUAACGUUAAAAGGAAUAAAACAUUAUAAUUAUUAUAUAUAUAAUAAUUAUAAAAGUUUUUACUGAGUGAGUAAAGAAAUUUACUUAUUAGGGUGGUACCGCGGAAUAAUAGCUUCGUCCCUUUU